rnacentral:rRNA from 1 species
GUUGACCUCGGAUCAGGUAGGGAUACCCGCUGAACUUAAGCAUAUCAAUAAGCGGAGGAAAAGAAACCAACAGGGAUUGCCUCAGUAACGGCGAGUGAAGCGGCAACAGCUCAAAUUUGAAAUCUGGCUCUUUCAGGGUCCGAGUUGUAAUUUGUAGAGGAUGUUUCGGGUGUGGCUCCGGUCUAAGUUCCUUGGAACAGGACGUCAUAGAGGGUGAGAAUCCCGUAUGUGACUGGUAGCCUAUGCCCAUGUGAAACUCCUUCGACGAGUCGAGUUGUUUGGGAAUGCAGCUCAAAAUGGGUGGUAAAUUUCAUCUAAAGCUAAAUAUUGGCCAGAGACCGAUAGCGCACAAGUAGAGUGAUCGAAAGAUGAAAAGCACUUU